rnacentral:lncRNA from 1 species
UCUGCCUAAACUUUCUUGGCCCCCUGUCUCUAUCACCUUCAAAAGUAAUAUAGGAAAUUCUCAAAGGAAACUCCAUUAGCAAAAAUUAAGUGAAGAAGCUGCCAGGAAUAUCUUCAUAGAAGUUUCUCAGGAAGAAGUCUAGAGGAAGCUGGUUCCUAAAUAAAGGAGACACUGUUGACUGUCUAGUAGUUAUUAAUCCCUUAUUACUUGGUGCUUAAACCACAAUUUAUUCAUGAGUCUGAUCUCUCUACCAUGGACUCACGGGUAAUUCCUGAGUAUUUUAAUGUAAUCACGGUGAUCUCUUAAAUAUGGCCAAUGCUUGGUUUAUAAGUGGGCAUGUGAUUCAUUUCUGGCCAAUGAGGCAUAAACAGAGGUCUAUUGGAGGUUUAUGGUAAAGAAAUUUUUCUUCUUAUACAGACAUAAAGAAGAAAAAAAUAUCCCUCUUUUUCCAUUGGGCAUUGUCCUUUCUGGGCAGCCAUCUUGUGGCCAAGAGGGAAAAUAGCCCAAGGCCAAUACUGUCACACUGAAGGUAUCAGAGCAGAAAAAUGGCAAAGAAUCUGGAUCCUUCAUGAUAUUAUUGAGUCAAUUAAAUGACCUACACAGGAUAUGCCUAUUCUCAAUUUCUUAUAAUGGGGGAAAUAAAUUUCUUCACUGUUUAUACCACUUUUGUCUAGGUUUUUUGGGGAUUGAAGAAGAUGAAGACAUUGCAACUAAUAAUGACACUGCUACUACGGUUGUAGGAAGGAACGCACUAAGGAAUAACCAGAAACGGAUGAAGAAGAUGAUACAGAGCCACGCUGCAGGGCUAUUUUGAUAAAGAAGGAAAAAAGCGGCCAGACGCGGUAGGUGAUGCCUGUAAUCCCAGCACUUUGGAGGCCGAGGCGGGCGGAUCACGAAGUCAGGAGAUCGAGACCAUCCUGGCUAACACGGUGAAACGCCGUCUCUACUAAAAAUACAAAAAGAAGUUAGCCCGGUGUGGUGGCACUUGCCUGUAGUCCCAGCUACUCGGGAGGCUGAGGCAGGAGAAUGGCGUGAACCCGGGAGGCGGAGCUUGCAGUGAGCAGAGAACGCGCCACUGCACUCCAGCCUGGGUGAUAGAGCGAGACUCCGCCUCAAAAAAAAAAAAAAAAAAAAAAAAAAGAAAGAAAAAGAAAAAGGAAAAAAGCAAACAUAAUGAAAAGCAAUGUUUUAUCAAAAGAAAAUCAGAAGUAAAGAAUUUAAAGUCCUAAACUCUUUGUUUCCAUUGGGCAUUGUUCUUGUGGUAAGGACAGGACAGACAAAUUUAGAGUUCUACCCAGUAAGACAGCACAUGUAAAUAAAUAGUCUAUCCUCUCUGUUUGAAAGAUAAUUCCAAAAACAAACACACUAUCCAAGAUACACAUGCACAUUUACAGAAUACAUAUUUCUGUCAUGUCUAUACAUAACUGAAGUUUAUUUAAAUGACUGAAACAGACUAAAAUAAAUGUCUAUUUCUAAUUAAAAGUUAUUUUCUAUGCUAGAAAAAUAUCCUAGGAUACUAACUAUAUUUAAUCAACAUUUAUUCCUUAAUGUCUAUUUCAUACUCUGAGUUAACAUUUUUUCUAUUAUUUGAAACUGUUCCUCAAGCCCUGUUUCCUCACACAUAAAAAUUUUCAUAACUCAGGCCCUUGCUCUGUCCUGUAGUAAUUCAUCCUAUAGUUUUCUGCUACUAAUGGGAUACUUUGUUACUCUUCCCCUCCUCUCUAUUCUCCACAUAGGAGUCCAAUUUGAAUAGAAGUUUCUAGGUGCACUCAACAUUUGACAAAGCUUAGAAACCAUGGAAAGUGCACUUAAUAUUAGCCUGUCAAAGCCCCAGCUUGUUCAUGACUAAUAGGCCCUUAGAUGAGUAAAUAAACCUCACUGAGCAUUCAUUUUCUCUAGCUAUGAAAGCUGUGUAACAGUACCUCCAGCCUAAGGUUGUUAGAAUUCCAUGAGAGGAAGUAUAUAAAAGUAUUGUACUUUGAAAAUGGUAAUGUACUACCAUUAGUAUAGAUGUAGGGCACUAUUGUUCCUCUGCAAGUCAGGAAGACUAACUCCAAUUAGGGAUGAGAAUUCAAAGGUCUGAAUUGUAGCCAGUGGGACAAACAGGUGUGAGACACCUCUCACAUUAUACUACACAUGGGGCCACCAGGCAUUGCAUCAGGCCUAAUAAAUCCUGUCCUACAAUGCAGAUUGUAGAAGAACAUGUUUAUGGGAAUUUAAAAAAGUGGCUUUUUAGCUCUCUAUCCUAUUUGUAUUGAAAAUAACCUCAACUAAAUAUAUCUUGCAGAGAAGUUAUUCACAUGAGUUUCAGAUACCACCUGCAUGCAUGAAAAAUGCAUAGGUCUGUGUGGGCGUAUGUAUGUCGAUGUAUUAGGACUGGAAUUUUGGUGCUGCCAUAGUAUUUCGGUGAUGCCUGAAGUGGCUGUUUAAUAUCCUAGAAAUAUGUGAUAGAGAUGGCAUAGAACUAUUUUCUAUUCUUAGUUAAGUAUAUUUUUCAGAUUGUAUUAGUUCUACUCUUUACAUUUUAGUGAACAAUUGUAUUUUUUUGUUAAUUAUUAACUUUCAAUUGAGACCUCAAAUUCACGAAUUUGACUUCUUUCCUGAUAGUGAUCCCCUGAAAUUAUUGCGUUCCAUUUUUAAAAAGCUUUGUUGACAUAUAAUUCACAUACUUUUAAACUGUACAUUUCAGUGGUUUAUAAUAUAUUCACAGUUGUGCAAUCAUCACCACAAUCUAAUUUUAGAAGAUUUUCUUUUCUUUUUUUUUUUUUUGAGACGGAAUAUCACCCUGUCACUCAGGCCACAGUGCAGUGGCAUGAUCAUGGCUUACCGUAGCCUCAACCUUCCAGGCUCAAGUGAUCCUCCACCGCAGCCUCCCAAGUAGCUGGGACUACAGACACACCACCAUGCCUAGCUAAUUUUUAUGUUUUUGGAAAGGACAGGGUCUCAUCAUGUUGGCCAGGCUGUUCUUAAACUCCUGAUCUCAGGUGAUCCACCCACCUCGGCCUCCCAAAGUGCUGGGAUUACAGGCGUGAGCCACUGUGUCCGGAAGUAGAACAUUUUCAUCACCCACAAAAAAACUCUGUGCCCAUUAGUAGACACUCUACAUUCCCUUACGGCAUCCCAGCACUCAGUCCUAGGCAACCAAUACACAAAUAUCUGUCUCUAUAGCUUUGCCUAAUCUGAACAUUUAGCGUAAAUGGAACCACAUAAUAUAUAUUCUUUUGUCACUGUCCUCUUUCACUUAGCAUACAAUUUUCACACAUUUUCCAUGUUGUUUCAUAUAUCCUUACUUCAUUUCAUUGCCCAAUAAGAUUCCAUUAUAGGGAUAUACCUCACUUUGCUUAUACAUUUAUCUACUUAUCAGUUUACGGACAUUUGGAUUUUUUCCUAUGUUGGGGCCAUCAUAAAUUAUGCUGCCAUGAAUACUCGUGUGCAUGUUUUUGUGUAGUCAUGUGUUUUCAUUUCUCUUGGGUAUAUAUCUGUUAAAAGUAAUGGCAAAAACUGCAAUUACUUUUGCACCAACCUAAUUGAAAACGAAUUGCUGAGUCAUAUGAUAAUUUUAUGUUAACUUUUUGAGGAACCAGCAAACUGAUUUCCACAGUGGCUGCACCAUUUUACAUUCCCAGCAGCAAUGUGUGAGGGUUCCAAUUCUUUUACAUCCUCAGCAACAUUUGCUGUUGUCUUUCUUUCUGAUUACAGCCAUCCUAGUGGGUGUGAAGUGGCAUCUCAUUGGGAUUUGCAAUUGGAAACUGGAUUUGCAAUUGAUAGCAUUUCCCUGAUGGCUUAUAGUGUUCAGCAUCUUGUGUUUAUUGGCCAUCUGUUUAUCUUCUUUAGAAAAAAAUGUCUAUUCAGAUGCUUUGCCCAUUUUUACAAUUGGGUUAUUUGUCUUGUUAUCACUUCAUUGUAAGAUUUCCUUAUAUAUUCUGGAUACUAGACGAUUUUAAGAUGCAUAACUUGUAAAUACUUUCUCCCAUUCUGUGGAUUUUCUUUUCAUUUUUUGAUCAUUUCCAUUGCACAAAAGUUUUUAAUUUUGAUGAAGUCUAAAUUAUCUAUUUUUUGUUCUGUUGCUGUGCUUAAAUGUCAUAUUUAAGAAACCAUUCCCUACCUAUUGUAACAAACCUGCUCAUCCUGCA